AAGCCUUAAAGUAGCUUAAUACCUUGCCUUUUAAUUGGAGAGCGCGCAUGAAGUGUAGACGAGGGAGCGACUGUCUCUAGUUUGAUAUCGUGAAAUUGAACUCCAAGUGAAAUUGCUUGGGUGGUUCUAAAAGACGAGAAGACCCCAUGCAGCUUUACAUACCUUAUAAAUAAUUAUAACAAUUGUUUAGUUGGGGCAACGGGGGAAUAAGAAAAACUUCCUUGGAGCAAUUUUUGACUGGUAGGUAAUGAUCCAGAGUGUGGCCGAUCGAAAGGUGAGCUACGCUGGGGAUAACAGCGUGCUUCUGAAAUUGAGGUCUCAUUGGUUUCAGAGUCGGCGACCUCGAUGUUGAAUCAGGGAAACGCUCAGGUGCAGCCGCUUGAGUCGGGGGUCUGUUCGACCUUUAAACCCCUAC
rnacentral:rRNA from 1 species